ensembl:lncRNA
GUGUCAAGACGUGGUUGAAUCUGUGGUUGUCUCUUAUCGGAGAUGUUGUAUUUUGGGCAGAGUUCAGCUAGGCUCACAGACCAACCCAAGUGCCAACCCAUUAUAAAGUGGCAGAGCCUGAUGAUUUUCAUUUCAGUGCCCUUGCUAACAGACAAACAACUGGGGGAAAGCUGUCAGAGGCUGAAGGUGUUGGCUGGUGAAAUCUUCUUCUGACGUGUACAGUUGGGCAUUUGAUUGAGCACUGGCCUACGAUGGUCUCAAAUAGCUGCACCAUGCACAGCACAUCUGAGUCUCUGGCUAAGUCUGCCUUGGCCCUGACAUUGAUGGCUGUCUGAGGCCAGGUCCACGUCUGGGCUGAUCGCCUGGGUUUCAGUGCCGGGUGCCAGGCCUGAUCCAUUACCUCGCUCCCGGCUCGAGCCACCAGUCCAUCAUGCCACAAUCACUCCAAUCAUUGUCUCAAGAGCCGAGUGCCUAACAGAGAGGAAAUAGCCAACAGAGCCACAUAUUUUUUGGUGGACCCGCAAACUUCAAAUCUCUCACUCGGUGCUUAAUGAUGUAUUCUUACGAGACUGUGGCUGUGGCAUAAAUAGAAACAAGGUAACAUUUCAGAGGAUGCACCACAACUGUUGUCCCCCCAGCAUAUGGGCAGCACGCCAUGGGAUAUCUGAUUGUAUAUGAUUGCACCUACGUAUGCUGGAAGCCUCUUGCAAAUGACUAGAGGACAUGUCACCACAUGCCAUGCUCCAAGACAGCCUAUGGGCAAUGUCUAAUGGUCUCAAGAGUGAAAAAAAAACAUAUAAUGUAGCUCCUGGAGGAGAGGCCAGAGCCACCGAAUAUAUAGUUCUUUUUCAAGCACACAACACAUUGGGUUAUGUGAAACUGUCAUGUGCAAAGAUGUUUGGCAGAUGGGAAUGAUCCAAAUUAGGGUGACCAAAUGCACACAUGUGGGAAGAGUAGUAAGCUUGUGUGGGACAAUGAGGGACAUGUUCUGAAUACUGAGAGGCAACCUAAAAUGUUGAUAUAAUGUCUAUCUAACU